rnacentral:tRNA from 1 species
UCUAAUAUGGCAGAUUAUUG